rnacentral:rRNA from 1 species
UACGUAGGUGGCAAGCGUUGUCCGGAUUUAUUGGGUUUAAAGGGUGCGUAGGCGGCCCUGUAAGUCAGUGCUGAAAUAUCCCGGCUUAACCGGGAGGGUGGCAUUGAUACUGCAGGGCUUGAGUGAAGUCGAGGUGGGCGGAAUUGACGGUGUAGCGGUGAAAUGCUUAGAUAUCGUCAAGAACACCGAUAGUGAAGACAGCUUACUAGACUUCAACUGACGCUGAGGCACGAAAGUGUGGGGAUCAAACAGG